AGAGUUUGAUCCUGGCUCAGAACGAACGCUGGCGGCAGGCUUAACACAUGCAAGUUGAACGGGAACAUACGAUAGCUUGCUAUAGUAUGUGAGAGUGGCGCACGGGUGAGUAAUACAUGGGAACAUACCUUAAAGUGGGGGAUAACUUCUGGAAACGGAUGCUAAUACCGCAUAUACCCUGAGGGGGAAAGAUUUAUCGCUUUAAGAUUGGCCCAUGGCAGAUUAGGUAGUUGGUGGGGUAAAGGCCUACCAAGCCGACGAUCUGUAGCUGGUCUGAGAGGACGAUCAGCCACAUUGGGACUGAGACACGGCCCAGACUCCUACGGGAGGCAGCAGUGAGGAAUAUUGGGCAAUGGGGGCAACCCUGACCCAGCCAUGCCGCGUGAGUGAAGAAGGUUUUCGAAUUGUAAAGCUCUUUCGGAUGUGACGAUGAUGACGGUAGCAUCUAAAGAAGCCCCGGCAAACUUCGUGCCAGCAGCCGCGGUAAUACGAAGGGGGCGAGCGUUGUUCGGAAUUACUGGGCGUAAAGGGUGUGUAGGUGGACGUGUAAGAUAGCGGUGAAAUGCCGGAGCUCAACUUCGGAAUUGCCAUUAUAACUAUGCGUCUAGAAUUAUAGAGAGGAUAGCGGAAUACCCAGUGUAGAGGUGAAAUUCGUAGAUAUUGGGUAGAACACCAGUGGCGAAGGCGGCUAUCUGGCUAUAUAUUGACACUGAGGCACGAAAGCAUGGGGAUCAAACAGGAUUAGAUACCCUGGUAGUCCAUGCCGUAAACGAUGAAUGCUGGUUGUCGGACGAAUGUUCGGUGACGAAGUUAACGCGAUAAGCAUUCCGCCUGGGGAGUACGGCCGCAAGGUUAAAACUCAAAGGAAUUGACGGGGACCCGCACAAGCGGUGGAGCAUGUGGUUUAAUUCGAAGCAACGCGAAGAACCUUACCAAGUCUUGACAUCCCGCUGACCGGACAGUAAUGUGUCCUUUUCUUCGGAACACCGGUGACAGGUGGUGCAUGGUUGUCGUCAGCUCGUGUCGUGAGAUGUUGGGUUAAGUCCCGCAACGAGCGCAACCC
rnacentral:rRNA from 1 species